rnacentral:rRNA from 1 species
GAGUUUGAUCUUGGCUCAGAUUGAACGCUGGCGGCAUGCCUUACACAUGCAAGUCGAACGGCAGCAUGAUCUAGCUUGCUAGAUUGAUGGCGAGUGGCGAACGGGUGAGUAAUACAUCGGAACGUGCCCUGUAGUGGGGGAUAACUAGUCGAAAGAUUAGCUAAUACCGCAUACGACCUGAGGGUGAAAGUGGGGGACCGCAAGGCCUCAUGCUAUAGGAGCGGCCGAUGUCUGAUUAGCUAGUUGGUGGGGUAAAGGCCCACCAAGGCGACGAUCAGUAGCUGGUCUGAGAGGACGAUCAGCCACACUGGGACUGAGACACGGCCCAGACUCCUACGGGAGGCAGCAGUGGGGAAUUUUGGACAAUGGGCGAAAGCCUGAUCCAGCAAUGCGCGUGU